CACGUAGUUAGCCGGGGCUUCUUAGUCAGGUACCGUCAGCCACCCCAAAGGGUGGGUUUCUUCCCUGCUGAUAGAGCUUUACAUACCGAAAUACUUCUUCACUCACGCGGCGUCGCUGCAUCAGGGUUUCCCCCAUUGUGCAAUAUUCCCCACUGCUGCCUCCCGUAGGAGUCUGGGCCGUGUCUCAGUCCCAAUGUGGCCGUUCACUCUCUCAAGCCGGCUACUGAUCGUUGCCUUGGUAGGCCGUUACCCUCCCAACUAGCUAAUCAGACGCGGGUCCAUCCCAUAGCGAUAAAUCUUUCAAAAAACCUGCCAUGCGGCAAUUCUUUCUUAUGCGGUAUUAGCAGCCGUUUCCAACUGUUGUCCCCCUCUAUGGGGCAGGUUACCCACGCGUUACUCACCCGUCCGCCACUCAGUCACAUACAUCUUCCCUCCGAAAAGUUCCGCCGUAUGUGCUUCGUUCGACUUGCAUGUGUUAAGCACGCCGCCAGCGUUCAUCCUGAGCCAGGAU
rnacentral:rRNA from 1 species